GCGGCAGUACGCGGCCAGCGCCAGGACCAGCAGGGGGGUGACCAGGAGGAACCCCACCACCAGCAGGGCCACGCAGCCGCCGUCUGUGAGCAGACAUUAAAACAGCUCCUGAUGUGUUUGUUGGAGCGAGCGAGGGAGCAGAUAAAAGCAGGAGGUGACGCAUCCUGUGUGGCAUGUUUGUGAGACACAGAGCCUAACUCCACCCUAAGCCCCGAGCACUAACUGCCGGAUCAAAGUUAUGAGAUUAGGUCUUCUAGAUGCUUCAUAAGAACGAUGGAGGUGGUCGUCUUCCUGCUUUUUCCUUUAUGUUUUUAUUGCUCGACUCUGAAGAGUGACAAAGAAAGCCGAACACGACCAUGACGGUGGCCGGCGUCAGGAUGGUGCCGAACACCAGGCCGGCGAGGCAGGCGUU